CUGGUUCGAGUCCAGGAUGGCCCACCUGAAGAGAGUUAAGAGUUUGAAGUUAAGAGUUAAGAGUCAAAAAACUGAUAACUCAUCACUAAAAACUCAUAACUUUUUGUCUGGGGGUUUAGCUCAGUUGGUAGAGCGCCUGCUUUGCAAGCAGGAUGUCAGCGGUUCGAGUCCGCUAACCUCCACCUAGAGAUAACUCAGCAAAUGCAAAUAAGGUGAGAAGAAGUCCAGCAACAUGGUGUGAAGCCAGACUGCUGGGUGAGAACUCAGCCAGAACCUUGAAAACUGCAA
rnacentral:tRNA from 1 species